GUCAUCCGCGAUUUCCAGGAAAAAGCGGGCUCUGGGGGACAAAAAUAACCCCGCCGGCUGAAAGCCUCAGCUAGAGGCUGCUGGCUCCGUCUUUACCACGUUCGCCUGUCUCUGCCAUCACAACCCAGCAGAGAAGAUGAGGUUCUCAGAGGCCGUGACCCACCCCUACAGGUGACUCUGUAGGCCCGGCUGGCCUGGAAUUCAGCUGCGCAGGCAAACCCACAGAGCUCUGCCUGCUUCUGCUGCCGGAGUGCUGGGCUAAAGGCGUGUGCCACUAUGACCAGUUUUAAUUAAAGAAAAAAAAUUUUUUUUUUCUGUAUAGAGAUGUUUUGCCUGCAUUUAUGUCUCUACCGCUUUUGUGCCUGGCGCCUGGGGCGGCCAGCGGGGCAUCAUCGGGGUUCCCUGGAACUGGGGUCCCAAAUGUUUGUGAGCACCCAUGGGAAGGCUGAUGAAACCCGGGUCCUCUUGGAGGAGGACCGGAACGUGAGCCAGCUCUCCAGACGCCGAACCUCUACCUCGGGGCCCUGGAGGUGCAGGCCGCUGUCAGCACACCCCGUUCACAGACCUCUUCUUCUGACCGUGAGUCAGCUCUGUCCAGGGCAAAUGUCAACAUAGCAGAUGCAAUUGGAUUGUCAUGGUUCAUACCUGAAAAGCUUGCCAGUCAGGAGCCUGUGUGUGCAAGAGGAUUAAGCGUGUGAUCCAGGGAGCUCCAGUGACAGAAAUGACAAGCAGGGUAAGGAAACUGAGGCACAGACAGCCAAAGGAGCUGCUAAAUAUUUGGACUCGGAUUGAACCCAGACCACUUGCCUCCGCAGCCCUGGCUUUCUGCCCGUGCAUGCUCCCUUCUUCUUGGAGUGGGAGAAGCCGCACAAAGGGCCUUGGUGAGCCAGAGAGGAAGAAUGCUCGGAGGAGAGUCCAGCCAAAAGAGCACUGCGCCUCGGCACGCUCCCGGACGAACCCAGAGUCUGGGCUCGUCAGGGCUACUGAAGAACACGGAGGGAUUAAAUGGAACUUAGCAAUAAUUGCAGCUUAUUAUUUUCCAAGCUUGUUCUUCGUGCCCCGCCCCGUGUCAGCUACAUGGGAGGUAUGUUUGCAAGUCCUUGGCAGGGAGGCUGCGCUCUCCCUGGACGGCACAGGCACCGAGCCUGAGAGAAGGCAGGUCACCAGGCAGGAUCCGACCCAGAGCUGUGGCUUUUCCUGAACCAUCAACCUCCCUAUCUUUCUAUCUUCUGGUUUGAAACAAUACUGUUUUUAUAAUGGAAAAAUGGUUGCGUUUGUUUCGGAAGUCUUGGGAAAAGGGUUUGCUCUGCAGAGCUGGUGACCUGAGUGCCAAUCCCUGGGAUCGUGUCAAAGCUCCCUUUUCUUGACUGUGGCACCUGCGCUCCCAGGGCGAGGUGGAAGGUGGAGCCAGGAAAAUCACCCAGAAGCUCCCGGCACAGCUGGCCUGGAGUCCUCAGCUCAGAGGCAGACAUGGGCCUGCCUCCGCAGGGCCUCAGGUCACACCGGCCCCAGAAGCCUCUGCUCUGCGCAGGACGCACAAAUAAAUAAAA